rnacentral:lncRNA from 1 species
AGUGUAGCUCAGGACGCCCAGGUGACAGGUUGAGUGAUGCACUUUGGAGCAGCGAUUCUUCUUGCACUUUGUGAAAGAGCUUUUGCCAGUCAGCCUUGUCUGCAGUGACAGGAGACAGAGACACUCCUUGCUGGUUCUUUCUCAGCCUUCCUCUUGCUCUGUAUAUCCAGACCUCUUCCACAUCUUACUCUAUGGUCACUGCCCAGACUUCACUUGUGUGGUCAACAGAGCUGGAAAUCUUCCUUUCAAGCGUGCUCAUCUGAAACAGAUUUAAAGUAUUUGAACACCCUCCAGAUCCUUCAAAAUACCCCCUGAAGAUCAUCUUAAUUGUGUCUUCUGCAUGGGCAGCCACUGAACUCUUUGAGGACUUCACGGUGAAGAGUGUAAUCUCAAGUUCAGGAAGUUGCCUAACAGAGUCC